rnacentral:rRNA from 1 species
UACGUAGGUGGCAAGCGUUGUCCGGAAUUACUGGGCGUAAAGGGAGCGUAGGCGGUCUUUUAAGUGGGAUGUGAAAUACCCGGGCUCAACCUGGGAAUUGCAUUCCAAACUGGGAGACUAGAGUGCAGGAGAGGAAAGUGGAAUUCCCAGUGUAGCGGUGAAAUGCGUAGAGAUUGGGAGGAACACCAGUGGCGAAGGCGACUUUCUGGACUGUAACUGACGCUGAUGCUCGAGAGCGUGGGGAG